rnacentral:rRNA from 1 species
AGUGAACGCUGGCGGUAGGCCUAACACAUGCAAGUCGAACGGCAGCACAGGAGAGCUUGCUCUCUGGGUGGCGAGUGGCGGACGGGUGAGGAAUACAUCGGAAUCUACUCUGUCGUGGGGGAUAACGUAGGGAAACUUACGCUAAUACCGCAUACGACCUACGGGUGAAAGCAGGGGACCUUCGGGCCUUGCGCGAUUGAAUGAGCCGAUGUCGGAUUAGCUAGUUGGCGGGGUAAAGGCCCACCAAGGCGACGAUCCGUAGCUGGUCUGAGAGGAUGAGCGGCCAAACUGGAACUGAGACACGGGCCAGACUCCUACGGGGGGCAGCAGUGGGGAAUAUUGGACAAUGGGCGCAAGCCUGAUCCAGCCAUACCGCGUGGGUGAAGAAGGCCUUCGGGUUGUAAAGCCCUUUUGUUGGGAAAGAAAUCCAGCUGGUUAAUACCCGGUUGGGAUGACGGUACCCAAAGAAUAAGCACCGGCUAACUUCGUGCCAGCAGCCGCGGUAA